UUUUAAAGGGAAACGAUUGAAGUCAGUCGUGCUGGCGCGAAAUCAACCCUCUCGUCUUGAGAUCACAUGGCGCGACGAGCCUCAAAACCGUCACGAAGCGUGAUCUCUUGACGAAAAGGUGCACUUUCGUGUCCGCUGGUUAACAUCAAUUUCGAACGUCAUAAAAAGGCUGGAGGGAUGUGGCUCCUUCGGGAGUGUUAUAACCUUUAGCGGAAUGUGGUGUUCGGGAUUGAGGAUUGCAACGAAUACCUUCAGGGCUGUUCCACCUGGCUUCUCAUUGGUAUCCUGGUGACGACAGCUUGCUGACGUCGUUAGGAUCAGCUUCUGAACAGGCUAGAGUGUGAGCAAAUUCGUUAAGGAUGUUUGACGUAA
rnacentral:rRNA from 1 species